GCCGAAGCCGCAGCCCCACCCGGACUACCACCCCCCUCCCACGCCCACCUACGGCGGCGGUGGCGGCGGCGGUGGAUACCACAGGCACCACUGAGUCAGGUCUACCCCCGUCCUGCCCAGCGAUGAAAUCUCAUCAUCAGCGGGUUGGUGAUCAGUGAGUGGUCGACGGUGCUAAUUAUGAUUGGUUUGCAUGCGUGAGUAUCGUUAGGUCUUCUGCCAUUCCCGCGAAGCCCCGUUUAUUAUCUGCACUGCAGAGUUGGGAGUUCAGAAUAACAGAUGUGCGUGUGUGUGUCGCUGUGUCAGGCAAGUGUGAGGGUGUGUUGGCGUGUUGCUUUAUCAAGAUUUUGUAAUUUCAGUGUGUGUUUUGUAUAAGAAGUUAUUAUGAAUCAAGUAAUUUAAACAAGUCGAUUUGUCAACCGAACAACUGCAGCUGUUCGAGACGAUUGGCAUGAUAAGGAUAGUGUGAUUUUACUUCAACUCAAUUUUCAGAUCCGUGAACUGAAACUGAAGUGAAAUUCAGGCGUGUGCAAUGCAUUCAUACUGCUGGUCAUAGUUUUUUCUCUUACGAUGAACAAGUCGAUUUAUGAACAUUUUUCCUAGAUAAGUGAGGCUUUUAAAAAAUGUUCAUCAUGUGUUCAAAACAAUGAUAACCGUAAAUUUAAAGCAAAAUUGUUCGCCGUGUAUCUUAAAAAUGUUCAUCAUGAAUUUAAAAGGUUUGCCACUAAUUUUAAAAAGUUCAUCAUGUAUUUAUAUCACUAAUUUAGUUAUCUAAACGCUCUUAUAUUAGUUUACAGAGGGAGUAUUUAAAAGUUGUCAUCACGUAAUUAAAAAAAGGUUAAUUGUGCAUUAAUGAAAAUUUUCACCAUGUUUCAGAAAUGUUCAUCAUGUAUUAAUAAACUUAACCUUGUAUUUUUAAAAGUAAAAAAAUGCUCAUUGUGUAUUUAAAACAUAUAAAGAUAUUUUUUUGUAAAUGAACUAAAAAUAUUCAUUCUGUAUUAAAAAAAUAUUCACCAUGAAUUGUUCAAAAAAAUCACCUUGUAUUAUUCAAAAACGCUCAGACACAAAGGACAAAUGCUCAUACACGGUGUGGGGAAAAGGAGAAAAUGCAUAGAGUAAAAGAACAACAAAAGAGGAAAAAUGGACAAUGAAAAAAAAAAGGAAAGAAUGAAGAAUCCAACUAAGAAAAAAAACAGUUCAGAAGCCAAACACAAAAACCAUGCAAAAAGACGCAGCAGGAACCAGCGAACGAAACAACACCCCUAGCUGGCCUGCCCAAGUCACCUUGCUUGUGACUGUCUUCGCAUCCAUUUGACGUGUGUGCGUAUUUGCCGGAGACCUCCUAUUCCCUGACCUACGCGGGGAAAAGUGAGGAAACAUGCACCUAAACCUGUGGGUAGCCCGACCCGAGCCUGGCCCGAAAAAUCCAGGCCACGCUGGGGCCUUGUUUUGCAGCCCAAUGUACAUUUCGCCUAGGCUCGGGCUUUUGUAACAAUACUGAGAAAUAGUAUUUGGUCGGGCUUUCAAUAUUCAGGUCGGGCUUACAACUAACAACAUUGAUAAACACCAUUCGAGCUAGACUUUCGGGCUUCGGGCCUAUAUUUGGCUGAGGCUCGAGCUUGAGAAAGUGUGUACUUUCGGGAUUUGGACCAGCUGGGGCUUGAAGUUUGGGUUUCUGGCUUUUUGAAGCCCAGCCCGCCAUAUAAUCAGGUUUAAGUGCACCCCCGCCCCCCACGCGUGCUUUUGGCCGGCCCAUAUGCGGGGUGAGCCGGGCUUAUUAUUAUUAUUUUUGCUUUUGUACUUUCGUUCUUUCUCAAUUGCAAGAAAUGUUCAUAAAAUAAGCAUAUGUUUGCACAUUUCUCAAAGUGCUUCAAAUUUUCAAAAUAUUAUAUGAUUUAAAUUCUUCAUAAAUUGAAAAUUUUCUUGAAUUUCAGAAAAUGUUCAUGAAUUGUAAAAUUGUUCCCCUAGUUCACAAAUUAUUCAUGUAUUUGAAAGUCCAUGGAUUCGAAAAUUGCUCGCGAAUUUGAGAAUGGAAUAAUAGAGUGAGUAUAGCAAUUGAUAUCUAUAGAUACUUUGCGAGGUUUAUAUCAUUAAAUUUAGAAAUGAUGUCAUUAUCACGACAUGUAUUGGAUGUCCUUUUUUCACUAGUUAAUAUCCAUAAAAUAUCAUGUUAGAUGACCGAUUUUUCAUAAUAUAACAUUUAUUGUGAAUCAAAAACCAGAAAGCAAGAAUCCUGCAAAGAAAAUGUAACACAUAAUCCUAGAGAGCGCCUUACACAUCUCAUUUCUAAGUGUGUUUACUUAUAAUUUGGUAAACAUAAGUCCAAGCAAAUCAAAGAAAAUCAAAGUACAGAGAAUACCUACAUACCAUGGCCCAUUGACCGGUCCACACAAUUGACUGCUUUAAUGUGACCCAUCAAAGACACUCAGAGCUUCAAAGGUGAACUGUUCUUUGAUCCAGGCUUUGGUUGGCACCGUAAAGAAUGCAAAAUAACAGCUCAAAUAUUUGUAUCAGCAAAAGAUCAAACAACUGAAAUAAGAAGCACAGAGCACAUGAGCAAGGAACAUAAAUGUUGUUAAUAAAACAAGAAAAAAACUAAGAUACACUUGUGUCACUCGCAACUCACUAACUCAUCACAAAUUCUUCAUACGAGCAAAAUAACACUACUAGGGACAAAGCAGGGCUUCGAUUUUCUUGCACAACAGCUAACAGUUAGAGUUUUUAAUUCAUGUUUACCCAAUAAUUCUCCACAAUUCCUCACAUAGUUUCUAGUUCAACCAUUACUGGUAUGUAAAUAGACAAGAUUAGAUCGAUACUAAAAUUUGCAUUACGCUAUCGACGAAUGACGGCUCAAUUUUAUCUCCACAUAGAUGACACAAGAAUCUCAUUUGAGCAGUUGGUCACAAUGCAUACUAGCAUACUAAUGUUUCCAAUCGAACCGCAGCCAGAAACUUAGAACGACUUAUCCAACUUCUACCACCAAAUCAAAUUCAUAAUAUGAUGUUGCCUCCACGUUCCACGAUCCCGGUAGGUACAUCCAUGCACUUUCCACAUGCGAGAUGCGAUGAAGAUGUGAGAUGUGGCCAAAGAUUUGGGAUGUUGUAAACAUAUCUACGAGAUAUUUUUUUCUCUAUGUAUACCUAAUAGUUUACUAGAAGCCGCUAUCAGGAUAUUUCUGACUUUAAAAGACACACACACACAGAGAGAGAGAGAUAUACGUAUAUACUAUGGUCAUGUGAGUGUCACAAAUUAAUCCAUGAAACAUGCAAUUUUAUGUAGUCUAUUUUCUUAUGGUUAGAGGGGUUAAGUUUAAGUAUUAUUUUAUGGUGCAAUCUAUUGAAUAGAAAGAAACUAAUCAAAUUUAGCGUAGGGCGUGCAUAUAUUUUAAUGACACACAUUACAACCUAGCAGAAAAUAAUAUUAUUUAUAUUGAGCAUAAUUAUCGUAAGUAAAUAUAAAAAAGAAGUAACCGCUCGCAGUUAAUAGUGAGUUUUAAACAUGUAUAAAAGUUUAAUAUAAAUAUUCAAUUUAAUUAGACUCGAUUUCUUGUCACCGCCCUAGAUUCAUGUUUGUAAUUAGUGGCAUUGCAUCCAUGCAUCAUGUCUAAUUUUAUCAGAAAUUUGAAUUGAGGGAAUUUUCAAAACCUCAGAAACAUUUUAGAAAUUAUCAACACUAAAAUCUUCUCAAAUAAGUCCAAGAAAAUGUUCCUGUUAUUUUAUGAAAAUAUUGGAAAGAGGUAAAAUUAAAACCAGUGUUUUUGGAUUGUCAGAAAUAUUUAUUUUGGGAAUUUGAGUUAAUCUAAUAAUUAUUUGCAUUAGACUUAUAUUUAUUAUAUAUUAAAUAUUGGUCCAAAAAAUUUGAAAGUUUGUAUGAGGCUCUGGACUAGUUCCCUAAGUCCACAUAUUGAAUUUCAGAAGUUUAUAAAGUGAUUUGGUAGUUAAACCAAAUCAAACAAACAGAACAAAAUGGAAAACAAAAACAGAAAGGGAAGAACAGAGAGAGAGAGAGAGAGUUUACCUGGCAGCCCACUUACCCGGCCCAACUCCUCUAGCCGGCCCAGCCUACCUGGCUCUGCCAGUCGUCCUCUACCUCGUGCCAGAGGGCACGAGGGCGUGUGGCCGCCGCCCACGCGUACGCACCGCGCCACCUCCUGCUUGCCGCUUCGCUCUGGCCCUCUCUGGACGUCGACACGUAGCCCCCUGGUCCUCUCCCUCGCUCCCCUCGUCCUUCCCCUCCUCUGGAUCCCUCUCUCUCUCUCACCACCGAGCGGGGCUCAUCGCCACCGACGCCGUUCACCGUAGCCACCGCCUCCUCCUGAACCUCUCUCCGCGCCCAGAAGCUCCGCCACUUCGUCCUCGACCCCCUCGCUGAGCCACGCAACGCCGGACGCCCUGAAGCCUCGCCAACACCGUCGUUCCCCUCGUCGGUCACCGCGGAUCCUCGCCGUUGAUUCAGGAGCUACAGGACCUCCCCGAGCACUCUGAGCUUCUCUACAAGUCCUCCGUGAGCCCCUCUUUCCCCUACCCUAACCUCGUUGCUUCGCUCGACCUCUAGCUAGCGCUGCCGCCAUGGCCGAGCUCCGCCGCCGCCUGCCUUGUCAUGCGCCACCAUUGCAGCCCGCGCCCGUCGUUGGAGAGCAUGGCAACGAGCUCGUCGUGCCUCCAGGAGGCCGGCUAUCCCUUUUGCUAGCUCGCCCGUGCCCCGUAGCACCGCUGCCCGCUUGCGCCCGAACUCCGGCCGCCGCCCAAGUGGUCGCCGCCGUCGACCCCGGCCUCCCUGCGCCUAGCUGCAUGCACCCCUGGAUGCGGGCGAGCGAGGGCUUCCUCAUGGUGCCCUGCUACCUCUUGAGCACUGCGUUGGUUUUCCCUAGAAAAGGAAAGGGUGAUGCAGCAAAGUGGCGUAAGUAUUUCCCUCAGUUUUUGAAAACCAAGGUAUCAAUCCAGUAGGAGGCUACACACGAGUCCCUCGCACCUACACAAACGAAUAAAUCCUCGCAACCAACAUGAUAAGGGGUUGUCAAUCCCUACACGGUCACUUACGAGAGUGAGAUCUGAUAGAUAUGAUAAGAUAAUAUUUUUGGUAUUUUUGUGAUAAAGAUGCAAAGUAAAGAAAGUAAAAUAAAAACGGCGCUAGAAAUAGCUAAGUGUUGGAAGAUUAAUAUGAUGGAAAAUAGACCCGGGGGCCAUAGGUUUCACUAGUGGCUUCUCUCGAGAGCAUAAGUAUUUACGGUGGGUGAACAAAUUACUGUUGAGCAAUUGACAGAAUUGAGCAUAGUUGUGAGAAUAUCUAGGCAUGAUCAUGUAUAUAGGCAUGACGUCCGAAACAAGUAGACCGACUCCUGCCUGCAUCUACUACUAUUACUCCACACAUCGACCGCUAUCCAGCAUGCGUCUAGAGUAUUAAGUUCAUAAGAACAGAGUAACGCUUUAAGCAAGAUGACAUGAUGUAGAGGGAUAAACUCAUGCAAUAUGAUAUAAACCCCAUCUUGUUAUCCUCGAUGGCAACAAUACAUUACGUGCCUUGCUGCCCCCACUGUCACUGGAAAAGGACACCGCAAGAUUGAACCCAAAGCUAAGCACUUCUCCCAUUGCAAGAAAGAUCAAUCUAGUAGGCCAACCCAAACUGAUAAUUCGAAGAGACUUGCAAAGAUAACCAAUCAUACAUAAAAGAAUUCAGAAGAUUCAAAUAUUGUUCAUAGAUAAGCUUGAUCAUAAACCCACAAUUCAUCGGUCUCCACAAACACAUCACAAAAGAAGAUUACAUCGAAUAGAUCUCCACAAGAGAGGGGGAGAACAUUGUAUUGAGAUCGAAAAAGAGAGAAGAAGCCAUCUAGCUAAUAACUAUGGACCCGAAGGUCUGAGGUAAACUACUCACACUUCAUCGGAGAGCCUAUGGUGUUGAUGUAGAAGCCCUCCGUCAUCGAUGCCCCCUCCGGCGGAGCUCCGAAACAGGCCCCAAGAUGGGAUCUCACGAAUACAGAAGGUUGCGGCGGUGAAAUUAGGUUUUUAGCUGCGUAUCUGAUCGUUUGGGGGUACGUAGCUAUAUAUAGGAGGAAGGAGUACGUCGGUGGAGCAACGUGGGGCCCACGAGGGUGGAGGGCGCGCCCAGGGGGUAGGAGCGCCCCCUACCUCGUGGCUUCCUGGUAGCUUUCUUGACGUAGGGUCCAAGUCAUCUGGAUCAUGUUUGUUCCGAAAAUCACGUUUCCGAAGGUUUCAUUCCGUUUGGACGCCGUUUGAUAUCCUGCGAAACUCUGAAAUAGGCAAAAACAGCAAUUCUGGGCUGGGCCUCCGGUUAAUAGGUUAGUCCCAAAAAUAAUAUAAAAGUGCAUAAUAAAGCCCAAUAAUGUCCAAAACAGAAGAUAAUAUAGCAUGGAGCAAUCAAAAAUUAUAGAUACGUUGGAGACGUAUCAAGCAUCCCCAAGCUUAAUUCCUGCUCGUCCUCGAGUAGGUAAAUGAUAAAAACAGAAUUUUUGAUGUGGAAUGCUACUUGGCAUAAUUUCAAUGUAAUUUUUAUUAAUUGUGGUAUGAAUAUUCAGAUCCGAAAGAUUCAAGAUAAAAGUUCAAUAUUGACAUAAAAAUAAUAAUACUUCAAGCAUACUAACUAAGCAAUUAUGUCCGCAGCAUCGCCGGAGUGCGCGUCCAUGACCCUGUGCGGGCCGAUCAAGAAGCACAUCAUUGAGCACUUCCACCACAAGAAGCCCGUGCCGCCUAAGCCGGAGCUCAAGCCCCAGCCCCACCCGGACUACGGGCCCGUGCCCAAGCCGGAGCCGAAGCCGCAGCCCCACCCGGACUACCACCCCCCUCCCACGCCCACCUACGGCGGCGGUGGCGGCGGCGGUGGAUACCACAGGCACCACUGAGUCAGGUCUACCCCCGUCCUGCCCAGCGAUGAAAUCUCAUCAUCAGCGGGUUGGUGAUCAGUGAGUGGUCGACGGUGCUAAUUAUGAUUGGUUUGCAUGCGUGAGUAUCGUUAGGUCUUCUGCCAUUCCCGCGAAGCCCCGUUUAUUAUCUGCACUGUAGAGUUGGGAGUUCAGAAUAACAGAUGUGCGUGUGUGUGUCGCUGUGUCAGGCAAGUGUGAGGGUGUGUUGGCGUGUUGCUUUAUCAAGAUUUUGUAAUUUCAGUGUGUGUUUUGUAUAAGAAGUUAUUAUGAAUCAAGUAAUUUAAACAAGUCGAUUUGUCAACCGAACAACUGCAGCUGUUCGAGACGAUUGGCAUGAUAAGGAUAGUGUGAUUUUACUUCAACUCAAUUUUCAGAUCCGUGAACUGAAACUGAAGUGAAAUUCAG
rnacentral:lncRNA from 1 species